GUGACAAUGCAUGGUGUCU
rnacentral:piRNA from 1 species